UACAGAGAGUGCAAGCGUUGUUCGGAAUUACUGGGCUUGAAGCGCACGUAGGCGGCGUUGUAAGUGUCGGGUGAAAUCCCACGGCUCACCCGUGGAACUGCCCGGCAUACUGCGAUGCUAGAGUGUGGUAGGGGAGAGCGGAACUCCUGGUGGAGCGGUGAAAUGCGUAGAUAUCAGGAGGAACACCGGUGGCGAAGGCGGCUCUCUGGUCCACAACUGACGCUGAGGUGCGAAAGCUAGGGGAGCAAACGGG
rnacentral:rRNA from 1 species